rnacentral:rRNA from 1 species
GCGAGUGAAGAGGGAAAAGCUCAAAUUUAAAAUCUGGCAGCUUCGCUGUCCGAGUUGUAAUUUAGAGAAGUGUUACCCGCGUUGGACCGUGUAUAAGUCUCCUGGAAUGGAGCGUCAUAGAGGGUGAGAAUCCCGUCUUUGACACGGACUACCAAGGCAUUGUGGUGCGCUCUCGAAGAGUCGAGUUGUUUGGGAAUGCAGCUCUAAAUGGGUGGUAAAUUCCAUCUAAAGCUAAAUAUUGGCCGAGAGACCGAUAGCGAACAAGUACCGUGAGGGAAAGAUGAAAAGAACUUUGGAAAGAGAGUUAAACAGUACGUGAAAUUGCUGAAAGGGAAACGCUUGAAGUCAGUCGCGUUGGGCAGGGAUCAGCCUUGCUUUUUGUGAGGUGUACUUCCUGGUCGACGGG